rnacentral:rRNA from 1 species
UACGAAGGGGGCUAGCGUUGUUCGGAAUCACUGGGCGUAAAGCGCACGUAGGCGGCUUGUUAAGUCGGGGGUGAAAUCCUGAGGCUCAACCUCAGAACUGCCUCCGAUACUGGCAAUCUCGAGUUCGGAAGAGGUUGGUGGAACAGCUAGUGUAGAGGUGAAAUUCGUAGAUAUUAGCUAGAACACCAGUGGCGAAGGCGGCCAACUGGUCCGAUACUGACGCUGAGGUGCGAAAGCGUGGGGAGCAAACAGG